UAUCUCAUGGCUCACACGUCCCUGCCCUUC
rnacentral:piRNA from 1 species